AGCAGCCGCGGUAAUUCCAGCUCCAAUAGCGUAUAUUAAAGUUGUUGCAGUUAAAAAGCUCGUAGUUGAAUUUCGGGAUCAGUACGCCGGUCGUGCCUUCGGUAUGCACUGGUGUCACUGGUUUCUCCCUUCUGAAGAGCCAUCAUGCCAUUCAGUUGGUGUGGCGGGGGAAUCAGGACUGUUACUUUGAAAAAAUUAGAGUGUUUAAAGCAGGCUCGCGCUUGAAUACAUUAGCAUGGAAUAAUGAAAUAGGACGUUUGACCCUAUUUUGUUGGUUUCUAGGAUCGACGUAAUGAUUAAUAGGGAUAGUUGGGGGCAUUAGUAUUCAAUUGUCAGAGGUGAAAUUCUUGGAUUUAUUGAAGACUAACUACUGCGAAAGCAUUUGCCAAGGAUGUUUUCAUUAAUCAAGAACGAAAGUUAGGGGAUCGAAGACGAUCAGAUACCGUCGUAGUCUUAACCAUAAACUAUGCCGACUAGGGAUCGGAUGAUGUUAAUUUUUUUAAUGACUCAUUCGGCGCCU
rnacentral:misc_RNA from 1 species